UACGGGAGGCAGCAGUGGGGAAUAUUGCACAAUGGGCGCAAGCCUGAUGCAGCCAUGCCGCGUGUAUGAAGAAGGCCUUCGGGUUGUAAAGUACUUUCAGCGGGGAGGAAGGCGAUGCGGUUAAUAACCGCGUCGAUUGACGUUACCCGCAGAAGAAGCACCGGCUAACUCCGUGCCAGCAGCCGCGGUAAUACGGAGGGUGCAAGCGUUAAUCGGAAUUACUGGGCGUAAAGCGCACGCAGGCGGUCUGUUAAGUCAGAUGUGAAAUCCCCGGGCUUAACCUGGGAACUGCAUUUUGAAACUGGCAGGCUUGAGUCUUGUAGAGGGGGUAGAAUUCCAGGUGUAGCGGUGAAAUGCGUAGAGAUCUGGAGGAAUACCGGUGGCGAAGGCGGCCCCUGGGACAAAGACUGACGCUCAGGGUGCGAAAGCGUGGGGAGCAAACGAGGAUUAGGAUACC
rnacentral:rRNA from 1 species